UGAGAGGAGCUUGCUUUUCUCAGCUUAGUGGCGAACGGGUGAGUAACGCGUGAGUAACCUGCCCUGGAGUGGGGGACAACAGUUGGAAACGACUGCUAAUACCGCAUAAGCCCACGGAUCCGCAUGGAUCUGCGGGAAAAGGAUUUAUUCGCUUCAGGAUGGACUCGCGUCCAAUUAGCUAGUUGGUGAGGUAACGGCCCACCAAGGCGACGAUUGGUAGCCGGACUGAGAGGUUGAACGGCCACAUUGGGACUGAGACACGGCCCAGACUCCUACGGGAGGCAGCAGUGGGGGAUAUUGCACAAUGGGGGAAACCCUGAUGCAGCGACGCCGCGUGGAGGAAGAAGGUUUUCGGAUUGUAAACUCCUGUCGUUAGGGACGAUAAUGACGGUACCUAACAAGAAAGCACCGGCUAACUACGUGCCAGCAGCCGCGGUAAAACGUAGGGUGCAAGCGUUGUCCGGAAUUACUGGGUGUAAAGGGAGCGCAGGCGGACCGGCAAGUUGGAAGUGAAAACUAUGGGCUCAACCCAUAAAUUGCUUUCAAAACUGCUGGCCUUGAGUAGUGCAGAG
rnacentral:rRNA from 1 species